rnacentral:rRNA from 1 species
CCGGCGACCGGCGCACGGUGAGUAACACGUAUGCAACCUGCCCUCUUCAGGGGACAACCUUCCGAAAGGGAGGCUAAUCCCGCGUAUAUCGGUUUCGGGCAUCCGAGAUCGAGGAAAGAUUCAUCGGAAGAGGAUGGGCAUGCGGCGCAUUAGCUAGACGGCGGGGUAACGGCCCACCGUGGCGACGAUGCGUAGGGGUUCUGAGAGGAAGGUCCCCCACACUGGUACUGAGACACGGACCAGACUCCUACGGGAGGCAGCAG